rnacentral:rRNA from 1 species
UCAACGGAGAGUUUGAUCCUGGCUCAGGACGAACGCUGGCGGCGUGCUUAACACAUGCAAGUCGAACGGAUUCGUGGCACUUGUGUCGCGGGUUAGUGGCGAACGGGUGAGUAACACGUGAGUAACCUGCCCCAGACUCUGGGAUAACUCCGGGAAACCGGUGCUAAUACUGGAUAUGACAUCAAGCCGCAUGGUUAUGGUGUGGAAAGUUUUUCGGUCUGGGAUGGGCUCGCGGCCUAUCAGCUUGUUGGUGAGGUAGUGGCUUACCAAGGCGACGACGGGUAGCCGGCCUGAGAGGGCGACCGGCCACACUGGGACUGAGACACGGCCCAGACUCCUACGGGAGGCAGCAGUGGGGAAUAUUGCACAAUGGGCGCAAGCCUGAUGCAGCGACGCCGCGUGAGGGAUGACGGCCUUCGGGUUGUAAACCUCUUUCAGUAGGGAAGAAGCGAAAGUGACGGUACCUGCAGAAGAAGCACCGGCUAACUACGUGCCAGCAGCCGCGGUAAUACGUAGGGUGCGAGCGUUGUCCGGAAUUAUUGGGCGUAAAGAGCUUGUAGGCGGUUUGUCGCGUCUGCUGUGAAAAUCCGGGGCUCAACCCCGGACUUGCAGUGGGUACGGGCAGACUAGAGUAUGGUAGGGGAGACUGGAAUUCCUGGUGUAGCGGUGGAAUGCGCAGAUAUCAGGAGGAACACCGAUGGCGAAGGCAGGUCUCUGGGCCAUUACUGACGCUGAGAAGCGAAAGCAUGGGGAGCAAACAGGAUUAGAUACCCUGGUAGUCCAUGCCGUAAACGUUGGGAACUAGGUGUGG